rnacentral:rRNA from 1 species
GAUGAACGCUGGCGGCGUGCCUAAUACAUGCAAGUCGAGCGAACGGACGAGAAGCUUGCUUCUCUGAUGUUAGCGGCGGACGGGUGAGUAACACGUGGAUAACCUACCUAUAAGACUGGGAUAACUUCGGGAAACCGGAGCUAAUACCGGAUAAUAUUUUGAACCGCAUGGUUCAAAAGUGAAAGACGGUCUUGCUGUCACUUAUAGAUGGAUCCGCGCUGCAUUAGCUAGUUGGUAAGGUAACGGCUUACCAAGGCAACGAUGCAUAGCCGACCUGAGAGGGUGAUCGGCCACACUGGAACUGAGACACGGUCCAGACUCCUACGGGAGGCAGCAGUAGGGAAUCUUCCGCAAUGGGCGAAAGCCUGACGGAGCAACGCCGCGUGAGUGAUGAAGGUCUUCGGAUCGUAAAACUCUGUUAUUAGGGAAGAACAUAUGUGUAAGUAACUGUGCACAUCUUGACGGUACCUAAUCAGAAAGCCACGGCUAACUACGUGCCAGCAGCCGCGGUAAUACGUAGGUGGCAAGCGUUAUCCGGAAUUAUUGGGCGUAAAGCGCGCGUAGGCGGUUUUUUAAGUCUGAUGUGAAAGCCCACGGCUCGACCGUGGAGGGUCAUUGGAAACUGGAAAACUUGAGUGCAGAAGAGGAAAGUGGAAUUCCAUGUGUAGCGGUGAAAUGCGCAGAGAUAUGGAGGAACACCAGUGGCGAAGGCGACUUUCUGGUCUGUAACUGACGCUGAUGUGCGAAAGCGUGGGGAUCAAACAGGAUUAGAUACCCUGGUAGUCUACGCCGUAAACGAUGAGUGCUAAGUGUUAGGGGGUUUCCGCCCCUUAGUGCUGCAGCUAACGCAUUAAGCACUCCGCCUGGGGAGUACGACCGCAAGGUUGAAACUCAAAGGAAUUGACGGGGACCCGCACAAGCGGUGGAGCAUGUGGUUUAAUUCGAAGCAACGCGAAGAACCUUACCAAAUCUUGACAUCCUUUGACAACUCUAGAGAUAGAGCCUUCCCCUUCGGGGGACAAAGUGACAGGUGGUGCAUGGUUGUCGUCAGCUCGUGUCGUGAGAUGUUGGGUUAAGUCCCGCAACGAGCGCAACCCUUAAGCUUAGUUGCCAUCAUUAAGUUGGGCACUCUAAGUUGACUGCCGGUGACAAACCGGAGGAAGGUGGGGAUGACGUCAAAUCAUCAUGCCCCUUAUGAUUUGGGCUACACACGUGCUACAAUGGACAAUACAAAGGGCAGCGAAACCGCGAGGUCAAGCAAAUCCCAUAAAGUUGUUCUCAGUUCGGAUUGUAGUCUGCAACUCGACUACAUGAAGCUGGAAUCGCUAGUAAUCGUAGAUCAGCAUGCUACGGUGAAUACGUUCCCGGGUCU